GUCGCGGGGAACACUGGAAAUGCUUCAGGGGCGGACUCCGAAGACCGAGUAUUGCCUCGAGGGACUUUCUGCGCCACCCCGUAAUCGCUUGCGCUCCAGGUCUUCGUAGGUGGGGGCCGGGUGGGUGAAGACUGGGACCCUAUGCCACGCGCAGCACUCAGAGGAGGGCUGGGGUCCCAGGGCCGCAGCGCGGUCAGUUCAGUCCGGGCUCGAGCUUCCUAGCAGCGCCCUCCUUGGGGGCUGGCCCUGACCCUCGGUGCCGCUACGAGUGGGUGGCCAGAAGCUGGUGGUGGAGAGGGAGAGCGUCUGCAAGGAACGACGAGGCUGGCGCCGGGACCACGCGGCGGAGGCGAUCGAAAGAGAAACGAGGCCAGGCAAGGAGGAGGAAAUCCACCCGAUGAAGGCGAGCUGCCGCCUAAGAGGGAGGAGGGUCCUUUCGGCUGCCGCUGCUGCUGUUCCGGGACGCCGCCUGGGGAGCCAGCCCGCUCGUAAGGUGCGCGCCAGGUAGCUCCGCACCCAGGGGGCGCCCUUCCUG
rnacentral:lncRNA from 1 species